GGUGGCUCAGCGGUAGAGGGCUUGCCUUGCAUGCAUGAGGGCCUGGGUUCGAAUCCUCAGCACCA
rnacentral:tRNA from 1 species